AAGCGUGGAUUCUGCAAAAUGUGAGCCCAACAGGAAGCUGCCUGCAAUUUCAGGUAGCUUUUCUGACUCUUAAAGAGAUCUCAAGUAUACUUUCAGAGAAAUGCCAGCAAAAACUGUAGUCAUUCGGGAAGGAAAAAGUCUGGAAGAAAAAGAUACAGUGAACUACUAGCACAACGAGGAGUUUGAAAAGUUCAUGACAGCUCACAGUUCACGAUGGUGGCGAUCUUAAGGAUACAGAAAGCUCAUUCCUCAUGCAGGGAAGAAGAAAAUAUUCUAAAGAAGAGAUAAGCAUAUUCCGCGAAAUCAAAAAAGGUGAAAGUACAGAGAUUUGGAAAAUAUCAUUAAGGCCCCAAAUCAAUUGAAAAGUUCAUCAGAAAGGAAGAUUAUACUUGCUGGAUCUGACUUAAUUAGCUGGAAGCCUUUUUAAAGAGGGUUUGGACUUCACUGAGUCAGAAAGAGAUUCUCCUGCUGGCACUGAAGGAACAAGCUGCCAUUGGUCCUGCAGCUGCAAGGAAGUGAAUUUUGCCAUUAAGCGUGUGUGCUUGAAAGACGACUUUGAAACUCAGAUGAGACCCUAGACCUAGCUGAUUCCUUGGCUGCAGCUUUGUGAGACCCUGUCCUGAGGACCCAGUCAGGCCAAGCCUGGACUCCUGACCCAUGGAAACUGUGAAAUAAUAAGAGCAUGUUGUUUCAAGAUUCUAAAAUAGUGAUAACUUGUUACAAAGCAAUAGAAAACGAAUGUACCCUUAGAACGAUUUUUAAAAAUCACAUGGAACAGUGCUUAUCCAUAAAAACUGUCAGUGUGUGUAGUAAAGGCACAGAGCCUAAAGCCAGACUACAUGGGUUCAUGUUCCAACACCACCCCUCCUUGUUGUGCGACCUUGGGCAUGUUCCCGUGUGCUUCCGUGCCUCAAUUUCCACAUUAUGAAAUGAAGAUAAACACAGGACUCCACUCAGGAUUAUUUUGAGAAUUAAAGGACUUAAGUUAUACAAAGUCCCUAGAAGGGCAACUGGCACACAGUGAGAGAUCAUUUGGUUUGCGGAGGCUUGGAUUUGAAGCCUGGAAGCUGAGAUGGGAACUAGUGAAAGGAUUGGAGAUGAAUUUUUGGUGGAGAAUUGAGAAAAUUUGGAGAUAAACUGGAUGUAGAAGAUAAAGAAAGAAGAGGUGCCAGGAAUUACUCUCAGGGCUCAGUUUUGAACAAUUAGCCAUUUACCAUUUUUGGUGGAGCCAUUUACCAAGGGGAGGCACUAAAUCCCUCUCCAGGGAAUAUAAUAUAAACUUUACAUUUCUAGAAAUCUUCCAAAUGACUCUGAUGGCUAACCCUAGUUAAGAAGGCUCAAUCUAGAGAAGUAGCAUAGAGAAUAAUGGUUACAUUUAAUGGCUAGUCAUUAUAUCUUUCUUUGCAGGUAGCUUGUCUUGUUCAAACCUAGUAUGAACUGGCCAUAUCACGAGAAAAGUUAGUUUAAUCAUCUAUGUGGAAAUAACUGGUUCAUACGGCUAUUGUAGUCUUAUAAAACAUUUGGAGUACUUCCAAGCUACUAUUUUAGAUGAUUCACUUGAAUAAGCCGGGUGUUUUCACAUCUGUAAGCUUUAGCUCAUUCCCUGCCUUUUGCUUGAUGUGUUCAUCUCCCCUUGUGAUAAUUUUCUAUUUCUUAUCCAGAGAUAGCUUUCCUCUGACUGGUACCUCAAACCACCACCCGCCCAAGCCAGUCAUCUGGGCCAUUUCUCCUGCUUGCAUGGGCUCACAGUUCUCUAUGGAUUCUUCUACCAUAGAACUUACCACAUGGGUUAGAGUUAUUUAUUUAUUUUUUGUCUCCUGAACAAGACUUAGAACUUUUGGACCUUGCUGAUCUUGUCUUAUACAAAUUUAUCUCCACAGAACCUAGUCUGUUGUAGCUUGAGGCACAGAAUGAAUUAGAUGGAUUUAAUUGAAUUUAACUAAAUUAAAAGCAUGAUACCCUCAGGGAACUCAUCGCACAAUCUAAGCCUCUUGCUUAAUUAAAGUAGCCUAUGAAUGCAGUCACAGCAAGCUACAGCCAGCAGCCAGCGUAUAGAAAACAUUCACCCUACAUGGCUAUUUAGGGUGCCCAAACUUAAGCCUAAACCAGUCAUGCCAGACGUAACACCUUUCUUAUCUGUCUCUCACUUCUGCUGUGCUCUUCCUGAGCAAUGUGGGGCCCAUGCCUUUCUGAGGAACAGAGGAAGGAGGAAGGUGGGGUGGAGAGGAAGAAAUACUCCUACAACUUUGCAAAACCUUCCUUUACCCCUCAAUGAGGGACAGAAGGUAGAGAGAGUGGCUGUACGUGCUGUAUUAACAGGCAUGCUCAGGCUGGUUUGAGGCUUUUCUAACCACCUGACUUUGUGCAGAAGGUCCAAACACCAUUAGGCAAAUCCCGAUAAUGUUACAAGCACAGUGAACUACCCCAGAGCAACUUUUCUAAGAGGAUCCAUGGUUUUUACCAUGCCUUUGAAGGGAAGCAGAAUUUGAACUCUCUCAUACUAAUUCUUGCAGAGCCUUCAACCUCCAUAAAGUGUGAAGGAAGUACUGAUCAUACAUUUUAAACUAAAAUAAUUUGAUUAAGGGUUUGGGUCUCUGAGAGAAAAGUUGAAGAGGACUAUUCACUCUAUAACCUCGAGGCAAAUGGACACAGCAGGAGGUAAUCUGACAGGUAAAAAUGGAAACCUUUACAGCCAAGCAGAUCUGGAUCUAAAUCCUGACUCAUUUACUCUUUAGUUCUGUGCUCAUUAAAGUUAAUAAUGAUGACAAUGAUGAUAAUCGCUAACACUUACAUGUGCUUACUACAUUCCAGGCUCUGUUGUAAGUGCGUUGCAUGUAUCAGCUUACUGAAGAUACCACCAUCAUAUUUUAUAGUAAAGGAAUCUGAGGCACAGAAAAGUUUUGCAAUGGAUACAAGUUACUAAAGAGCUGAGCCAGAAUUCAAACCCAGGCAGCUGGGCUGCAGAUAUCCAUGCUUACACCCACUCUGCUUCCCUGCCUCCCACGUGCCUCUGGAGCACAGCGUCUGGCUUUCAGAAUCUGAGUUUCCUUCCCUGUAAAGUGCAUAUGAUGACGCCAACCUUGGUGAGGUCUGAAGGAGAUAGUGUACCUCGAACCCUAGACACCAGAGGGGCACCCACACUAGAGUAGGUGCCUCUAAUUUCAACUUGUACACUCACAAUGUCCUCUCAGAUUUCUAAGUAAACUAAUAAAAUUCUGAGAUAUCUAGAGUCCCCAAGAACAGCAAAUGUGUGGGUGAACUGAACAAAUUGGAGGCCUUAAAAUUUACUGUUUAGAAUCUUCCACUGAUCCAGAAGGCAGUCAUAGUCUGUGAUGCCCGCUAUCUCAAUAUUUCUAAAUUAACUAUGGCUUUUG